rnacentral:rRNA from 1 species
UACAGAGGCCUCGAGCGUUAGGCGGAAUCACUGGGCUUAAAGCGUGUGUAGGCGGACUGGUAAGUACCUUGUGAAAUCCCACAGCUUAACUGUGGAACUGCUCGGUAUACUGCUGGUCUUGAGCCACUCAGGGGCUACCGGAACAAAUGGUGGAGCGGUGAAAUGCGUAGAUAUCAUUUGGAACGCCAAUGGUGAAAACAGGUAGCUGGGGGUGUGCUGACGCUGGAGACACGAAAGCCAGGGGAGCAAACGGG